rnacentral:sRNA from 2 species
UCCGGACGGACGCCGAAUCCUGUCACCGCCCGGAGUCCGCACACUCACCCGUAUCUGGCAGGAGCGGGGGACCCACAGGUACAACCGCCUGUUCCGGUCUCCGGAACAGGCUUUGGGGUAAAGCCGCGCCUCGGCGCGGCCGGGCAUCUCCAGUCCGCACCCGACAGCUCACCUCGCAGGCGCCGGAGAGGAAUU